rnacentral:rRNA from 1 species
CCCAGACUCCUACGGGAGGCAGCAGUGGGGGAUAUUGCACAAUGGGGGGAACCCUGAUGCAGCGACGCCGCGUGGGUGAAGGAGCGUUUCGGCGCGUAAAGCCCUAUCGGCAGGGAAGAAGGAGGACGGUACCUGACUAAGAAGCCCCGGCUAACUACGUGCCAGCAGCCGCGGUAAUACGUAGGGGGCAAGCGUUAUCCGGAUUUACUGGGUGUAAAGGGGGCGCAGACGGCAGCGCAAGCCAGGAGUGAAAGCCCGGGGCCCAACCCCGGGACUGCUCUUGGAACUGCGCGGCUGGAGUGCAGGAGGGGCAGGCGGAAUUCCUGGUGUAGCGGUGAAAUGCGUAGAUAUCAGGAGGAACACCGGUGGCGAAGGCGGCCUGCUGGACUGCGACUGACGUUGAGGCUCGAAAGCGUGGGGAGCAAACAGGAUUAGAUACCCGUGUAA